AUGGUAGCCUCUAACACCUCAAGAUCUGUGUCAUUUCUCCUCAAAACCAUGUCAGCGACUUUGGAGACGAAGUCCCCAUUCUCCUGCCUAUCCUCAAGGAACAUGCGCAAGACAUCCUCCCCGAGGCUGUCACCAGCUGUCAAUUCCAACAAUGAGGCCACGGGAUUAGUACGAAAGAACAAAUGCCGAACCAUCUUGGUUGUAUGGCUUGAAGCCUUGAAUAAUUCUUCUCUUCAUAGCAUGGAUUUAAAUACACCAACGCAUGGAGAAAAAUGUGUUCAAAAUCAGAAUGAUGUGGUGGAGUAA
rnacentral:rRNA from 1 species